UACGAAGGGAGCUAGCGUUGUUCGGAAUCACUGGGCGUAAAGCGCACGUAGGCGGAUGUGUCAGUCAGGGGUGAAAUCCCGGAGCUCAACUUCGGAACUGCCUUUGAUACAGCACGUCUUGAGUCCGAUAGAGGUGGGUGGAAUUCCUAGUGUAGAGGUGAAAUUCGUAGAUAUUAGGAAGAACACCCGGUGGCGAAGGCGGCCCACUGGAUCGGUACUGACGCUGAGGUGCGAAAGCGUGGGGGAGCAAACAGG
rnacentral:rRNA from 1 species